AUUUUGGACAAUGGGCGAAAGCCUGAUCCAGCAAUGCCGCGUGAGUGAAGAAGGCCUUCGGGUUGUAAAGCUCUUUUGUCAGGGAAGAAACGGUGAGGGCUAAUAUCCCUUGCUAAUGACGGUACCUGAAGAAUAGGCACCGGCUAACUACGUGCCAGCAGCCGCGGUAAUAGGUAGGGUGCAAGGGUUAAUCGGAAUUACUGGGCGGAAAGCGUGCGCAGGCGGUUUUGGAAGUCUGAUGUGAAAUCCCCGGGCUCAACCUGGGAAUUGCAUUGGAGACUGCAAGGCUAGAAUCUGGCAGAGGGGGGUAGAAUUCCACGUGUAGCAGUGAAAUGCGUAGAGAUGUGGAGGAACACCGAUGGCGAAGGCAGCCCCAUGGGUCAAGAUUGACGCUCAUGCACGAAAGCGUGGGGAGCAAACA
rnacentral:rRNA from 1 species